rnacentral:misc_RNA from 1 species
GAGAAAUAGAGGAGAGAGGGGAGGAGAGGGGAAAAAGAGAUGGGUCGGUCCGAUUCGAUCAGGACUAGUCCAGGUUCGAUUCGGCCGGUUUAAUUAAAGAUAUUCAAAAUUUGAUUUUUGUUCUGUCCUAGUACCCAAAACGAAGCUCAAAAAUUUAGAAAAAAAAUUAGAGAAAACUCAGAAAAAUUUAUGGAGUCUAAAUAUAUUUUUAAACUUGUCACGUGGUCUUUAAAUUAAU